UGUGAGCUCGAUGAGUAGGGCGGGACACGUGGUAUCCUGUCUGAAUAUGGGGGGACCAUCCUCCAAGGCUAAAUACUCCUGACUGACCGAUAGUGAACCAGUACCGUGAGGGAAAGGCGAAAAGAACCCCGGCGAGGGGAGUGAAAAAGAACCUGAAACCGUGUACGUACAAGCAGUGGGAGCCUCUUAAUGGGGUGACUGCGUACCUUUUGUAUAAUGGGUCAGCGACUUAUAUUCUGUAGCAAGGUUAACCGAAUAGGGGAGCCGAAGGGAAACCGAGUCUUAACUGGGCGUUAAGUUGCAGGGUAUAGACCCGAAACCCGGUGAUCUAGCCAUGGGCAGGUUGAAGGUUGGGUAACACUAACUGGAGGACCGAACCGACUAAUGUUGAAAAAUUAGCGGAUGACUUGUGGCUGGGGGUGAAAGGCCAAUCAAACCGGGAGAUAGCUGGUUCUCCCCGAAAGCUAUUUAGGUAGCGCCUCGUGAAUUCAUCUCCGGGGGUAGAGCACUGUUUCGGCAAGGGGGUCAUCCCGACUUACCAACCCGAUGCAAACUGCGAAUACCGGAGAAUGUUAUCACGGGAGACACACGGCGGGUGCUAACGUCCGUCGUGAAGAGGGAAACAACCCAGACCGCCAGCUAAGGUCCCAAAGUCAUGGUUAAGUGGGAAACGAUGUGGGAAGGCCCAGACAGCCAGGAUGUUGGCUUAGAAGCAGCCAUCAUUUAAAGAAAGCGUAAUAGCUCACUGGUCGAGUCGGCCUGCGCGGAAGAUGUAACGGGGCUAAACCAUGCACCGAAGCUGCGGCAGCGACACUAUGUGUUGUUGGGUAGGGGAGCGUUCUGUAAGCCUGUGAAGGUGGCCUGUGAGGGUUGCUGGAGGUAUCAGAAGUGCGAAUGCUGACAUAAGUAACGAUAAAGCGGGUGAAAAGCCCGCUCGCCGGAAGACCAAGGGUUCCUGUCCAACGUUAAUCGGGGCAGGGUGAGUCGACCCCUAAGGCGAGGCCGAAAGGCGUAGUCGAUGGGAAACAGGUUAAUAUUCCUGUACUUGGUGUUACUGCGAAGGGGGGACGGAGAAGGCUAUGUUGGCCGGGCGACGGUUGUCCCGGUUUAAGCGUGUAGGCUGGUUUUCCAGGCAAAUCCGGAAAACCAAGGCUGAGGCGUGAUGACGAGGCACUACGGUGCUGAAGCGACAAAUGCCCUGCUUCCAGGAAAAGCCUCUAAGCAUCAGGUAACAUCAAAUCGUACCCCAAACCGACACAGGUGGUCAGGUAGAGAAUACCAAGGCGCUUGAGAGAAC
rnacentral:rRNA from 1 species